rnacentral:rRNA from 1 species
UACGUAGGGGGCAAGCGUUGUCCGGAUUUAUUGGGCGUAAAGAGCGUGUAGGCGGUUUGGUAGGUCCGCUGUGAAAACUCGAGGCUCAACCUCGAGACGCCGGUGGAAACCAUCAGACUAGAGUCCGGAAGAGGAGAGUGGAAUUCCUGGUGUAGCGGUGAAAUGCGCAGAUAUCGGGAGGAACACCUGUGGCGAAGGCGGCCAUCUGGACGACAAUUGACGCUGAGACGCGAAAGCGUGGGUAGCAAACAGG